UCUAUAUAAGAGUAGCUACUAUGGUGUCCAGAGCAUAAGUACUGGCUCAGUGGCCAUAAACAUGCCAUUGCCUUUCUCUUCAUCUUACCGACUUUAGACGGUCAGCAAUACUAGUUCUGCUCUAUUCUGUUCCUCUGUUAGAAAUCCAAGGUCUCCACUAAUACCCAGAAGGUUGCACCUCCAUCGAAAUGGAACUAGAAUGUGCUGCUGUUAAUUUAAAGUCUGGUCCACCUGUUUCAAGCAACCUAAGCCCCCUCCAAGCUCACGGCAGGCAGCUGGUGGCAUCAGAGCUGGCAGCAGCAACCUUUGGACCAAGCUCCACAGGGUGAGUGCUGAAGAACUGGAUGGAGCAGGAGCCAAAAUACCUUUCCACCCUUACCAGCUCCCAUCGAAAAGAGUUUGAGGAAGGUUAUAGCAUGUGUGGAAAACUGACAGUAACUGUACUGAGAAUGUAAAUUAUUUAAUAAACACAUUUUCUGAGUUCAAUUUAGUAUAUUUCUUGGUCAUUCAAUGAAUCCAUUGCCUAUAAAUAAAAUACAUUAAUAAGCUAGUAUCAAAAGUAACUAUUUGUGUCCUGUUUUGCUACUGGUAGCUUUAAAAAUCUUUUUUCUUGUGUAGCUUCUGUAAAAUCUAAAUCGACUUUAAGUUUCAAAGCAAUGUAACUAAAUCUAUCUUGGAUUCUUCUCCUAAAAGUUUACAUCUGCGUAUCUUUCUCACACUUACAUAUUGUGUUACGAACUAUGAUAAAACAUCUUGUUUUCUAACGAUAUGUUAAUUUGUGAAGAUCAAUGAUAAACAAUUCACUUGAGACUGUUCCCAAAAAGAUCUGUGUUCAAAUGCCUGUUAACUGGAUGUAAGUAAAUUAUGCAAAAGUUUAAUUUGAUAAAUGAAUAUAUCUUUUUCUAUGAAGACAGAAAUUCAUCAUUUGUUUAUUCUGUUACACAAAACCACUUUUAAAGGUGUAAUAUUCUAAAAAAAAGUAUAACCUUGCCAAAGUUGAACCUCACAGUGUUUCAAAUGACUGUCUAAAAAAUACUGCAGUCCUUUGCCAACAUAAAUCUUUAGAGCUGCUUCUUAUUCUUAUGACUCCCAUGAGUUUAGCAAAAUUCUGUCUUUCACUUCAGUUUUCCAAUGAAAAUGAAAUUGGUUAUUGUGAAUGCACAUUUAUCCUAAGUAUAACUUAGACUAUAUAGCUAUAUAUUGCAAUUCAAUGUAAAAUCUCUAUCUAGUGGCCUCUACUACUUCUGCUACACAGAUUAUGCAUAAGAAACGCCAAUGUAUUAACCUAUUAUUGCUGAAAUGGCUGGAGACCUGGGCUGUAAAUCGAGACAAAAUUACAACGAAGAAAAGGUUAUAAUCUGCUUUAUUUGAUAUUUACAUUCAUAUUCAAAACUAGGUCAUAAAUUUGGCUAAUUUUGUAAGAAAUAAAGGAAGGUCAAAAAAAGAUUAGCCCAGAGCUUAAACCCCCUUCUGCAGAACUAUUACACAACACAUGCAUAAAAACACUUUCCUUAUUGUUAUUCAGGGAUUUUGAAGGCAAUUACAUUAAGGUCUUAAUUAAUAACACCUUCCUGGAAUGUGAUGUGCUCGCUGUGUUGUCAGUAAAAGAAGUAUGAAAAUAAGGCAGCAAAAGCCUUUUGAAUAUGCAAGACUCUCAGCCCUCAACACAGGAUUUGUGUGAAUGUAUGAAGCCUCAUUGGGACAGUUGCGUUAUUGUCCAUGAGGCAUUCUUUACACUUAAUGUAAUUAUUGUAUGCGUAGUCACAUGGCACGUUGUGGCAAUUGUCACGAUCCCUUGUUUCAACCAACAGAAAAAGAAACAGACACCCUGUAUUAUAUCUGCCUUGUGACCACAUCAUGAGCACCAGGGUGCUUUUUAAACUCCACUAAACGCUGGGACUUGCAAUCUGAUCACAAAGCAGAAACAAUGUAGUAUGCCUGUAUCUCCACCUGCACAGUUUUUUUCUUGUUGAAUCCAUCCCUCCUUCAGACUAGUUUUUACCUUUGCAGGAAACCU